ensembl:lncRNA
CUUCUCCUUGUGAGAGCUCCCUAGAUUGAUUUCAAACAACAGUGCUCACCAGGAGCGCAAGCUGAAUUCUAAAUAAUGACAUCAAGACUUUGAGUAGCAGAGGGAGCUGUCAUGGAAUGGCCAACAAAAAGAAACCCCAUGAUCAUGAUCGUGUGCUGCUCACUUUCCCCUCUGGAGCCAAUUUGCAUGAACCCAGUGUUCCAACUAGGGUGGCUGAGCAGCUCUGUCUGGAAGCUUUCUCCCUUCUUGGUACCUGGUGAGUCCCUACAUUUGUGGCAGUGUGAGCUUUUCCCCUGGGAGCCCUUCCCUGGCCACACAUAAGAUGGUGAAAGUUGUGAGAUGGGAGGCACACAUUGAAGCUUGGACUCUUGACAACUUUGAGGAACAGAGCUCCAAUAUCAGCUUGGAUUUCACAGGAAUGAAAUACAUGUUUAGAUGUUUAAACCACUUUUGGGGGGGCUCUGUGUUAUAACACAUAAAUAUAAGCAAGAUAUCAGGGGCUACUCAGCUUUUGGAAAAAUCAUAAUCUAACCUCAAUUUCCCUAGAAAAAUCUUUUUUUCCCCCUCCUUGAAUUGGCCCUUUCAUGUUCCUUUUACUAGUUGUAGCUAUUAUCCCUUCUUUUUUGCCAGCUGUACCCUCAGAAUGCUCAUACCCUCAGUUGUCCCCAUUGAGAAUGCCAUUCUUCCAACUCUCUGUACAUUUCAGUUCCCUGAACUCUACUGCUUUUGGUGUGUGGCUGAGACUGAGCCCACAUGUAUUGAGGAAAUGAGGACUAAGCUGAGACUCAGGCAAGCUCUAGAGAUGAUACUGAGCAGGACAGGGGAUAAAAGCCAACUGUCAGAUGAAGUUGAGAAUCAAAUAUUUGUUUACAAGGAGGAGCCAGGGAACAGGAAGAAAUGGAGGUCAAUACAGAACUGGACUCAAAAGCCAGGCAGAUACAUAAAAACAGAGAUAAAGGAGAGUGUGGAAGUUAAAUGCAGCAGGGUUGGUGAAAGUAAAGUGUGCAAUCCGGAGAGGGAAAACAGAUGCAACAGAAAAAAAUGAAGAACACUUUGGGACUAAGAGGAAAUUCCCUCACACGGAAAACACCUCAGAGUUUGCCUUUUGUAGCAGGAACCCAUUGCUGACUGACACCGAGACCCACCUAGAGCUCAACAUAGCAGCUCACAGAUCCUGACCUGGCCUCUUGGAACUGCCUACGUGAACACAUCACAGCCUCCCUCCUCCAAAGGACACUACCAUGCUGUGGACCGUCCCACGCACUGAGUCCCUCAACCUCCCUUCCAGUCUGUUGUUCCUUUCUCCACGAGUUAGAGAGAACUCUGUAGUGGUGGGCUGAAGGUGUGUCCCAGGCAUUUCUGGAACUUUUUGCACUCCCUCAUCCCUGAUGUUAUCUGUGCAGAGCAGCAGACAAUUGGACCAGUGAUUUCCCUCCAGAAGAGCCCUUAAUGGUUGAUUAUUCCCGAUGGCUGCUGCACAUCAGCCAGCUCUGGCUUUCUGGUCUCGCAAAAGAUCC